UGGCUUUUCUCUUUUCUCCCCUUCUCAGCGCUCCUGGUCUCCAUCCCGCUCUCUUUCACUUGUCUCAGGCUGUUCCCGUUUGUCUCCUCUCUCCCCUCUUUUUCUGUGAUCUUCCUCCCCUUCGUUUUGCCUUUCAAUCGUGUGGAGUCGCGGACCAGCCCUGACUUUUGACCUUAGCCAGAACCGUAAUUUGCCUUAAAGACGAGACAUUCCAUUGUCAACAGUCGCCUGAUUCUUCCCGCCUUAGAUGUGCAGAAAAACUACUUAAUGGCCCGUUUCGGUCCAUUAACGGUCAUUCAGUCCAGUAAACUAAGGGGCAGUUCUGGGGGAGGGAUCCUAGCCCGAGUGACGGACGGAGGCGGCGGUCAACCAUCAAGGUGUCGGAUUCGGGUGGGGACUGAAGCAGGUCAUCCUGGACAUCUUGCAUGACAACCCAUGGCUCCAUAAGGGAGGAAGUAGAAGCCUCCAGACCUUCUGAAGAGUGUCACUUCUGGAAUAUAUCAGUCAUAGCAUCAAAGCCAAGUCCAGAUUCAAGAGGAGAGUACAUAAGCAAUGCAGGAGCUGCAUGUACAUACAGUGAGGGGCGGGUUUAUUUGGGGCCAUCUGGGUGGAUCUGGGAUGCCCACAGGGAGGGUACCAGUGGUGGCCCUGCCUGUGCAUAUCCUGUUCUUUCUGAAUAUCUGAAGAAAAUCCCAGCAAAUGCAUCUCAGCUUUCCAGAUCCAGAUCAACAUACCCUCAUGUUCUGCAAGACCUAUUGCAAGUUAUGAAACCCCAACUCAAGUAGACUUGAUGCAGAAAAGGUUAUUUAUGUAUUCAUGUACUCAUAACUGAAAAGGUUGGGCAUCAUAAAAUGCCAUCAAGAACCGACCUCACAAAACAAAUACAAGAUGAUUUCAUUUGUAUGUGGAAUUAAAGAACAAAAUGAAGAAAAUA